UACAGAGGGUGCGAGCGUUGUUCGGAAUUAUUGGGCGUAAAGGGCGCGUAGGCGGUGCGGUAAGUCACCUGUGAAAUCUCCUGGCUCAACUGGGAGCUUGCAGGCGAAACUGCCGUGCUGGAGUGUGGGAGAGGUGCGUGGAAUUCCUGGUGUAGCGGUGAAAUGCGUAGAUAUCCGGAAGAACACCGGUGGCGAAGGCGGUCUGCUGGGCCAAGACUGACGCUGAGGCGCGACAGCGUGGGGAGCAAACAGG
rnacentral:rRNA from 1 species